CGCGGAGUGGAGCAGUUGGCAGCUCGUCGGGCUCAUAACCCGGAGGUCGUAGGUUCGAAUCCUGCCUCCGCAACCA
rnacentral:tRNA from 1 species